rnacentral:rRNA from 1 species
GUAUUGGCUUACCGUGCCGAUAACGGGUAACGGGGGAUUAGGGUUCGAUCCCGGAGAGGGAGCUUGAGAUAUGGCUACCACAUCUAAGGAAGGCAGCAGGCGCGCAAAUUACCUAUCCUUGACACAAGGAGGUAGUAAACAGAAAUAAUGACGCAUGAUUCAAAUCGUGCGAUCGGAAUGAGUGGUUUCUAAACAAAACCACGAAAUCGAUUGGAGGAAAAGUCUGGUGCCAGCACCCGCGGUAAUACCAGCUCCAAUAGCGUAUAUUAUUGAUGUUGCAGUUGAAACGUUCGUAGUCGAACUUUUUCUACUUGGUUUCCUUGACGUUACGUAUGUCAAGCGUUACUGCGGUAGAGAGUGAGUUUAAUGGCAGCAUGUUCCAUGUUGUCAUCUUGACUCAUCACUUUGAGUGAAUCGGCGUGUUCCACGCAGGCUUUACGCCAUGUACGAUUUACCAUAGUAUAGCUAGAGUGUGGGAAUACUUCCUCGUCUCUUCGGAGGUAUUUUCGAUACUCAUAAGAACGGUUGAGGGCAUUCGUAUUCAACUGCCAGAGGUGAAAUUCUUUGAUUAGUUGAGGACGAACCAUUGCGAAAGCAUCUGCCAAGGACGUUUCUUUUGAUCAAGAACGAAAGUUAGGUGAUCGAGGAUGAUUAGAUACCGUUGUAGUCCUAACUAUAAACUCUACUAUCCAAGAGUUGGAUUGGUGGCUUUACGCCUCUCCAGUACUUUCUGAGAAAUCAAAGUCUUUGAGUUCUGGGGGGAGUAUAGUUGCAAGGCCGAAACUUAAAGGAAUUGACGGAAGGGCACCACCAGGAGUGGAACUUGCGGCUUAAUUUGACACAACACGGGAAACCUUACGAGGAUAAGACAAACGAAGGAUUGACAGAUUGAUCGCUCUUUCUUGAUUGUUUGGGUGGUGGUGCAUGGCCGUUCUUAGUUCGUGGAUUAGUUUGUCUGGUUAAUUCCGUUAACGAACGAGACUUUAACUUACUAGUUGGCGGAUGUUUUUCGACAUUCUCCUCUAGAAGGACCAUGUGUUUCUAACACAAGGAAGCGUGAAGCAAUAACAGGUCUGUGAUGCCCUUAGAUAUCCUCGGCAGCACGCGUGUUACAAUGAUGCACAGAACAUGUUUCGCCAUUUGAGAGAAUGGUGCAAUCAUCAAAGUGUAUCAACCCAGGGAUUGUUUGUUGUAAUGUCAAGCAUCAACGAGGAAUUCCUAGUAAGCGUGAAUCAUCAAUUCGCGUUGAUUACGUCCCUGCCCUUUGUACACACCGCCUGUCGCAUCUAUUGAUUAGGUUGUAUCAUGAGUUGAGCGGAAGCGUCGAUGCAUCUUUGCAUACGUUGUUGAAGCUCUGCAAAUGGUAUUACCCAGAAACAGAUAAAGUCAUAACACGGCA